rnacentral:lncRNA from 1 species
CCCGGUAUUUUUCCCGCACAAUCCGGAAAAGCCUUUGAAAAGGCUUGGGCCUUAGAAGGCUUUGGUUCCUCCUCCAUGUCUUCUCUACGCCGUCAAAGCGAAGAAAGCAUAGCUCUUCUUUCGAUCGCUAAAGCUAAUGCCCUUCUUUUUCCUUCUCCUUCGAUCACGACACUUCCGGAGAUUCCAUUUUUCAUCAUAUUCUUCAUCCGUUGCUCUCACCUGCAAUCUGACGG